GACGUAGGGCGCGAGCGUUGUCCGGAUUUAUUGGGCGUAAAGAGCUCGUAGGCGGCUCGUUGCGUCGGCUGUGAAAACCCGCAGCUCAACUGUGGGCUUGCAGCUGAUACGGGCGGGCUGGAGUUCGGUAGGGGAGACUGGAAUUCCUGGUGUAGCGGUGAAAUGCGCAGAUAUCAGGAGGAACACCGGUGGCGAAGGCGGGUCUCUGGGCCGAUACUGACGCUGAGGAGCGAAAGCGUGGGUAGCGAACAGG
rnacentral:rRNA from 1 species